rnacentral:rRNA from 1 species
CCUGGUUGAUCCUGCCAAUAGUCAUAUGCUUGCCUUAAAGAUUAAACCGUGUAUGUGUAAGUAUGAACAAAUUCAAACUAUGAAACUGCGAAUGGCUUAUUAAAUCAGUUAUUAUUUGUUUGAUAGUAACUACUACUCGAAUAACCUUAGUAAUCUAGAGCUAAUACGUGCAGCAAAAUGCGACAUCUGGAAGGGAUGCACUUAUUAGAUAAAAGGUCGACGCGGGCUCUGCCCGUUGCUGCAAUGAUUCAUGAUAACUCGAUGGAUCGCAUGGCCAUCGUGCCGGCGAUGUAUCAUUUAAAUUUCUGUCCUAUCAAGUUUCGAUGGUAGGAUAGUGGCUUACCAUGGUGGUGAAGGGUGAUGGAGAAUUAGGGUUCAAUUUUGGAGAGGGAGCCUAAGAAAUGGCUACCACAUCCAAGGAAGGCAGCAGGCGCGCAAAUUACCCAAUCCUGACACAGGGAGGUAGUGACAAUAAAUAACAAUACGGGGCUUAAUGAGUCUAGUAAUUGGAAUGAGUACAAUCUAAAUCCCGUAAAGUGAAUCCAUUUGAGGGAGAGUCUGGUGCCAGCAGCCGCAGUAAUUCCAUCACCAAUAGCUUAUAUUUAAGUUGUUGCAGUUAAAAAUCUCAAAGUUGGACUGUGGGAUUGGUCGGCCGGUCCACCUAUGGUAUGCAUUGGUUGUCUCGUACCUUUCAUCGACGAUGUGGUCCUGGCCUUAACUUGCUGGGUCUUACCUACGGCGCUGUAACUUUGAAGAAAUUAGAGUGCUUAAAGCAAUCUUACGCUCUGUAUACAUUAGCAUCGCAUAACAUUAUAGGAUUUCGGUCCUAUUUUGUUCGCCUUUGGGAUCGGAGUAAUGAUUAACAGGGACAGUCAGGGGCAUUUGUAUUUCAUAGUCAUAGGUUAAAUUAUUGGAUUUAUGAAAUAUGAAUAACUGCGAAAGUAUUUUUGAAGGAUGUUUUCAUUAAUAAAGAAUGAAUGUUGGGGGAUCGAAGGCGAUCAGAUACCGUCCUAGUCUCAAUCAUAAAUGAUGCCGACCAGGGAUCGAAGGAUGUUGCUUUUAGGACUCCACCGGCACCUUAUGAGAAAUCAAAGUUUUUGGGUUCCGAUGGGAGUAUGACCGCAAGGCUAAAACUUAAAGAAAUUGACAGAAGGGCACCACCAGGAGUGGAGCCUGUGGCUUAAUUUGAUUCAACACGGGGAAACUUACUAGGUCCGGACAUAGUAAGAUUGACAAACUGAGAGCUCUUUCUUGAUUCUAUGGGUGGUGAUGCAUGUCCGUUCUUAGUUGGUGGAGUGAUUUGUCUGGUUAAUUUUGUUAAUGAACGAGACCUCAGCCUGCUAACUAGCUAUGCGGAGGUAUCCCUUCGCAUCCAGCUUCUUAGAGGGACUACGGCCUUUUAGGCUGCGGAUGGUUAAGUGCAAUAAUAGGUCUUUGAUGCCCUUUGCGCACUAAGGACCCUGGCCUGUGGGCUCCCCAUUUGACCCAUCUUGAAAAAUGAACCAAGGAGUCUGACAUGUGUGUGAGUGAAUGGGCGAGUAAACCCGUAAGGCGUAAGGAAGCUAAUUGGUGGUAUCCCCCGAAGGGUGCACCGCCGACCGACCUUGA